rnacentral:rRNA from 1 species
GUAGGUGGCAAGCGUUGUCCGGGAAUUAUUGGGGCGUAAAGCGCGCGCAGGCGGUUCUUUAAGUCUGAUGUGAAAGCCCACGGGCUCAACCGUGGAGGGUCAUUGGAAACUGGAGAACUUGAGUACAGAAGAGGAAAGCGGAAUUCCACGUGUAGCGGUGAAAUGCGUAGAGAUGUGGAGGAACACCAGUGGCGAAGGCGGCUUUCUGGUCUGUAACUGACGCUGAGGCGCGAAAGCGUGGGGAGCAAACAGGAUUAGAUACCCUGGUGGUCCACGCCGUAAACGAUGAGUGCUAAGUGUUAGGGGGUUUCCGCCCCUUAGUGCUGCAGCUAACGCAUUAAGCACUCCGCCUGGGGAGUACGGCCGCAAAGGCUGA